UCUGUUGUGUGGUGUGAGACGUCUCGACAGUGUACCAACAGUGAGUGAGCUGCGACUUACGAAUCCAGCACAUACUUAUGACUCUACACAUUGGAAUAUUUAACGAAAGGUGGUCUGAUUGAUCCGGAUGAAGAAUCUCCGUCGCUGACGAGUUGAUUGUGAGCGUAAAUACCGACUUAUUUCAUGCGGAAGUUUGGUCAAACAAAGGAAUUCAUAUCAUGACAGCAACAAAACGUGCUUCUAUGGUAAGCAAAUACGAAUUUUCGCUGCAUGUAAUUGUCGGAAAAAUACUACCUCACCUACCGACGCACUUACCGAUCAAUUUGAUACUCUUGAUUUCACCAUGAUGGCGCUUGCAUCGACAUUUCGUAAAUUUUGGCGGGAUACGCAAGCUCUGACAAACAAGUGACAAACGAUCAAGUAGCCAUUUUCAUUAUUAUUCGCCUGACGUUGAGUUUCGUUCGUGUAAUCCAAUUAACCGCGUGUAAGUUGAAGUUGGUGUGUUGUGUUUAAAGUGAAAUAAUGUACUGACUUAUCGCAGAUAAAGUGUGUAUUCGUUGGAAUAAUUACGGAAUGCGGUGUGGUUGAUAGUUUAGCGGGAAAACAAGGUCGCGAGACAGCCGAAUCAACAAAGUUUGACGGUGCGAUUUUCGUUCGACGCUGGUUUGUAUAUUUCCUCGACCUUCGUCCAGCCAAAGUAGAGCAUUCGCGUAAUGACCAUCAAUCGGUGACCUUCGGUGCAGUCUAGCAGUGUAAAUCAGUGCAGUCUAGUUGUGCAAAUCAGUGCAAAUGGGCAACCAGCAGUGUUUGAGGAUGAUACGGCAUCAAAAGAGUAUUCACGAGGACUCCCGGUUACAAUUCACAAUUCUAGAUUGUCGCCGCACGUUGUCCCGUCUCUGACUAGACCCAUGUCCGGCAUUUCGGAGCCCUCAACAGUCCCUGUUGUCGACCUGAAAGCAAUCGAGGAACAAUUGGCAUUUUUGACUGGGGACCAUAUUUGGAUUUGAAAAGUUUGAAUCUAUAAGCUCGAGCAGUGACAUUUCCGUAGUUGAAAAAUUGGAUCGUCGCAGAGCAGAGAACAACAGAAAUUUCACACAACACAGCUGAAAUUCCGUGAGCUUCGUAUCGAGCAAUCCAGCAUUCUUCCACCUCCUCCUCCUCCUCGUCCUUCGUCUUGAAUAAGAAGUGAAGAGAUUGAUACGUACCAAAGUACAGUCACGCGAUCACGGGGUGAAAUAUUACUAGAUAAUAUUUCCCCCAUGGACCUGCUGCAAAUUCUUACAGACUCGGAGCUGUCGUGAUCCUGGUGCAGAUGAUUGUGAUGGUGAUGGGUAUGGGAACCUCCGUGC